AUUGAACGCUGGCGGCAGGCCUCACACAUGCAAGUCGAACGAGUGGCGGACGGGUGAGUAAUGUCUGGGAAACUGCCUGAUGGAGGGGGAUAACUACUGGAAACGGUAGCUAAUACCGCAUACCAUCGGAUGUGCCCAGAUGGGAUUAGCGAGUAGGUGGGGUAAAGGCUCACCAAGGCGACCAUCCCUAGCUGGUCUGAGAGGAUGACCAGCCACACUGGGACUGAAACACGGUCCAGACUCCGCCGAGGGGCGGCAGUGGGGAAUAUUGCACAAUGGGCGCAAGGCUGAUGCAGCCAUGCCGGGUGUAUGAAGAAGGCCUUCGGGUUGUAAAGUACUUUCAGCGGAGAGGCGUUACCCGGAGAAGAAGCACCGGAUAACUCCGUGCCAGCAGCCGCGGUAAUAC
rnacentral:rRNA from 1 species